rnacentral:lncRNA from 1 species
CAUCACUCCCUAGCUGGCCGCAAUAAUGGCCACGAUUCUGCUCCACCUCCUGCGACGGAUUCUACGUGGCUCCACCACUCCCUGACGAGUCGCGACAACGAACGCCGCUCCACUCUCUGCAACUGACUCCACGUGGCGAGCCAUGGUGACAGCCAUGACUCCCCCCAUUACUCUUCAUAAUAAACUCUUCCUGACCCCUAGCGGC